rnacentral:SRP_RNA from 1 species
GACACAGUCAUGCAUACCUGUAGUCCCAGCUACUCAGGAGCCUCAGGUGGGAGGAUUGCUCGAGCCCAGGAGUUCCGGGCUGUAGCACGCCAUGGCAAUCAGGUGUCCUCACUAAGUUUGGCAUCAGUGUGGUGACCUCUGAGAAGGCAACACAAGGUUGCCUAAGGAGGGGUGAACUGACCCAGGGAGAAAAUGGAGCAGGUCAAAACUCCUGUGCAGAUCAGUAGUGGGAUCGCACCUGUGAAUAGCCACAGCACCCCAGCCUAGGGAACAUAGCAAGAACUGUCUUU